GGUCCAGACUCCUACGGGAGGCAGCAGUGGGGAAUAUUGCACAAUGGGGGAAACCCUGAUGCAGCGACGCCGCGUGAGCGAUGAAGUAUUUCGGUAUGUAAAGCUCUAUCAGCAGGGAAGAAAAUGACGGUACCUGACUAAGAAGCCCCGGCUAACUACGUGCCAGCAGCCGCGGGAAUACGUAGGGGGCAAGCGUUAUCCGGAUUUACUGGGUGUAAAGGGAGCGUAGACGGCUGUGCAAGCCAGAUGUGAAAGCCCGGGGCUCAACCCCGGGACUGCAUUUGGAACUGUGUGGCUGGAGUGUCGGAGAGGCAGGCGGAAUUCCUAGUGUAGCGGUGAAAUGCGUAGAUAUUAGGAGGAACACCAGUGGCGAAGGCGGCUUACUGGACUGUAACUGACGUUGAGGCUCGAAAGCGUGGGGAGCAAACAGGAUUAGAUACCCUUGUA
rnacentral:rRNA from 1 species